UACAGAGGUCCCAAGCGUUGUUCGGAUUCACUGGGCGUAAAGGGUGCGUAGGUGGUUAGGUAAGUCCGAUGUGAAAUUUCCAGGCUCAACCUGGAAAUGGCAUUGGAUACUAUUUAGCUUGAGGAGUGGAGGGGGGACUGGAAUUCUCGGUGUAGCAGUGAAAUGCGUAGAUAUCGAGAGGAACACCAGUGGCGAAGGCGAGUCCCUGGACACUUCCUGACACUGAGGCACGAAAGCUAGGGGAGCAAACAGG
rnacentral:rRNA from 1 species